rnacentral:rRNA from 1 species
AUUGAACGCUGGCGGCAGGCUUAACACAUGCAAGUCGAGCGGAGUGAUGGUGCUUGCACUAUUACUUAGCGGCGGACGGAUGAGUAAUGCUUAGGAAUCUGCCAUUUAGUGGGGGACAACAUUCCGAAAGGAAUGCUAAUACCGCAUACGUCCUACGGGAGAAAGCAGGGGAUCUUCGGACCUUGCGCUAAAUGAUGAGCCUAAGUCGGAUUAGCUAGUUGGUGGGGUAAAGGCCUACCAAGACGACGAUCUGUAGCGGGUCUGAGAGGAUGAUCCGCCACACUGGGACUGGGACACGGCCCAGACUCCUACGGGAGGCAGCAGUGGGGAAUAUUGGACAAUGGGCGGAAGCCUGAUCCAGCCAUGCCGCGUGUGUGAAGAAGGCCCUUUGGUUGUAAAGCACUUUAAGCGAGGAGGAGGCUCUCCUAGUUAAUACCUAGGAAGAGUGGACGUUACUCGCAGAAUAAGCACCGGCUAACUCUGUGCCAGCAGCCGCAGUAAGAC